rnacentral:misc_RNA from 1 species
GCAAAGUUGGAACUGUAAGCUAGUCAUACUUGUUUAGCUCUUGAAGAACCAUGAAAAUGGAGGAUCUAGCACUGUCCAAGUUUUCUGUUAUGUUUCUUUUCUUUUUUUUUUUCUUUGAGAAAAUGGGGGGGUAAGUGGGGCUUUACUCGUAUUUGUUAGUUGUAAAUGGAGGGGCAAAUACAUUAGAACAUGAUGAUAUUGAUAGGUGGGGUCAUGAAAGUGUAUAUGUAUAGGGUGUGAUUUUCU